UCUGUCAAAUAAAGGGUCAUUUUAUCGGAUUAAUAUUACCCCUUAUUUCAAAAAGCUCGACUCCCUUCAUAAGGGGUAAUAGUCUCAUACGUUAUCUAGUUCAAAGCGUUAUUGGUCCAGUAAAUAUUGUAAUGAUGAGAGAGAUUAUGAUCGUCUUGGAACCAGAAGAUGUAGGACUCCAUGGAAAAUUUUCAAAAGAAGGCACGAAUACGAUGCGAUUCCCAGUCACUCUUGUCGUCUUUCAUCAUGCCCCAGAUGACCCAAACAAGAAAAGUCGAAGUCGAAGGAACUAUCGAACGGGUUAUGACUAGUGAUUAUGGUAAUUUAGUGCAUGUUAAAAUAAAUCGUGUGAUAUAUAUGAAAUUGUUUUAGUUUAUUUUGAAUUGUUGUCCAUGCAUAUUUCAUUUUUGCCAGAAGCACCUGCUCCAACGAAUGCAAGCGUUUGAAAUAAGGGGUAAUAAUCACCCGCUGCAACCAUUUGAAAUAAGGGGUAAUUUUCAUCCGCUACAAGCGUUAUCAGGUUGA